ACGAACGCUGGCGGCGUGCCUAAUACAUGCAAGUAGAACGCUGAAGAGAGGAGCUUGCUCUUCUUGGAUGAGUUGCGAACGGGUGAGUAACGCGUAGGUAACCUGCCUUGUAGCGGGGGAUAACUAUUGGAAACGAUAGCUAAUACCGCAUAACAAUGGAUGACACAUGUCAUUUAUUUGAAAGGGGCAAUUGCUCCACUACAAGAUGGACCUGCGUUGUAUUAGCUAGUAGGUGAGGUAACGGCUCACCUAGGCGACGAUACAUAGCCGACCUGAGAGGGUGAUCGGCCACACUGGGACUGAGACACGGCCCAGACUCCUACGGGAGGCAGCAGUAGGGAAUCUUCGGCAAUGGGGGCAACCCUGACCGAGCAACGCCGCGUGAGUGAAGAAGGUUUUCGGAUCGUAAAGCUCUGUUGUAAGUCAAGAACGAGUGUGAGAGUGGAAAGUUCACACUGUGACGGUAGCUUACCAGAAAGGGACGGCUAACUACGUGCCAGCAGCCGCGGUAAUACGUAGGUCCCGAGCGUUGUCCGGAUUUAUUGGGCGUAAAGCGAGCGCAGGCGGUUUGAUAAGUCUGAAGUUAAAGGCUGUGGCUCAACCAUUGUUCGCUUUGGAAACUGUCAAACUUGAGUGCAGAAGGGGAGAGUGGAAUUCCAUGUGUAGCGGUGAAAUGCGUAGAUAUAUGGAGGAACACCGGUGGCGAAAGCGGCUCUCUGGUCUGUAACUGACGCUGAGGCUCGAAAGCGUGGGGAGCGAACAGGAUUAGAUACCCUGGUAGUCCACGCCGUAAACGAUGAGUGCUAGGUGUUGGAUCCUUUCCGGGAUUCAGUGCCGCAGCUAACGCAUUAAGCACUCCGCCUGGGGAGUACGACCGCAAGGUUGAAACUCAAAGGAAUUGACGGGGGCCCGCACAAGCGGUGGAGCAUGUGGUUUAAUUCGAAGCAACGCGAAGAACCUUACCAGGUCUUGACAUCCCGAUGCUAUUUCUAGAGAUAGAAAGUUACUUCGGUACAUCGGUGACAGGUGGUGCAUGGUUGUCGUCAGCUCGUGUCGUGAGAUGUUGGGUUAAGUCCCGCAACGAGCGCAACCCCUAUUGUUAGUUGCCAUCAUUCAGUUGGGCACUCUAGCGAGACUGCCGGUAAUAAACCGGAGGAAGGUGGGGAUGACGUCAAAUCAUCAUGCCCCUUAUGACCUGGGCUACACACGUGCUACAAUGGUUGGUACAACGAGUUGCGAGUCGGUGACGGCAAGCUAAUCUCUUAAAGCCAAUCUCAGUUCGGAUUGUAGGCUGCAACUCGCCUACAUGAAGUCGGAAUCGCUAGUAAUCGCGGAUCAGCACGCCGCGGUGAAUACGUUCCCGGGCCUUGUACACACCGCCCGUCACACCACGAGAGUUUGUAACACCCGAAGUCGGUGAGGUAACCUUUUGGAGCCAGCCGCCUAAGGUGGGAUAGAUGAUUGGGGUG
rnacentral:rRNA from 1 species